rnacentral:rRNA from 1 species
AGUGAACGCUGGCGGUAGGCCUAACACAUGCAAGUCGAACGGCAGCACAGUAAGAGCUUGCUCUUACGGGUGGCGAGUGGCGGACGGGUGAGGAAUACAUCGGAAUCUACUUUUUCGUGGGGGAUAACGUAGGGAAACUUACGCUAAUACCGCAUACGACCUACGGGUGAAAGCAGGGGAUCUUCGGACCUUGCGCGAUUGAAUGAGCCGAUGUCGGAUUAGCUAGUUGGCGGGGUAAAGGCCCACCAAGGCGACGAUCCGUAGCUGGUCUGAGAGGAGGAUCGGCCACACUGGAACGGAGACACGGUCCAGACUCCUACGGGAGGCAGCAGUGGGGAAUAUUGGACAAUGGGGGCAAGCCUGAUCCAGCCAUACCGCGUGGGUGAAGAAGGCCUUCGGGUUGUAAAGCCCUUUUGUUGGGAAAGAAAAGCAGCAGGUUAAUACCCCGCUGUUCUGACGGUACCCAAAGAAUAAGCACCGGCUAACUUCGUG